rnacentral:rRNA from 1 species
UACAGAGGGUGCGAGCGUUAAUCGGAAUUACUGGGCGUAAAGCGUGCGCAGACGGUCACGUAAGUCGGGUGUGAAAGCCCCGGGCUCAACCUGGGAAUUGCAUUCGAGACUGCGUGGCUAGGGUGCGGAAGAGGGAAGCGGAAUUUCCGGUGUAGCGGUGAAAUGCGUAGAUAUCGGAAGGAACACCAGUGGCGAAAGCGGCUUCCUGGUCCAGCACCGACGUUCAGGCACGAAAGCGUGGGGAGCAAACAGG